AGAGUUUGAUCCUGGCUCAGAACGAACGCUGGCGGCGUGCUUAACACAUGCAAGUCGAACGUGAUCCAGAGCUUGCUCUGGUGAAAGUGGCGCACGGGUGAGUAACGCGUGGAUAACCUGCCCUGGUAUCUGGGAUAACAUCUCGAAAGGGGUGCUAAUACCGGAUAAGCCUACGGGCUCUUCGGAGUCUGCAGGAAAAGAAGGCCUCUAUUUAUAAGCUUCCGUAUCAUGAUGGGUCCGCGUACCAUUAGCUAGUUGGUGGGGUAAUGGCCUACCAAGGCGACGAUGGUUAGCUGGUCUGAGAGGAUGAUCAGCCACACUGGAACUGAGACACGGUCCAGACUCCUACGGGAGGCAGCAGUGGGGAAUUUUGCGCAAUGGGGGAAACCCUGACGCAGCAACGCCGCGUGAGUGAUGAAGGCUUUCGGGUCGUAAAGCUCUGUCAGAGGGGAAGAAAUGAAACGUGCUAAUAUCACGUUUUCUUGACGGUACCCUCAAAGGAAGCACCGGCUAACUCCGUGCCAGCAGCCGCGGUAAUAC
rnacentral:rRNA from 2 species